rnacentral:rRNA from 1 species
UGGGGAAUUUUGGACAAUGGGCGAAAGCCUGAUCCAGCAAUGCCGCGUGUGUGAAGAAGGCCUUCGGGUUGUAAAGCACUUUUGUCCGGAAAGAAAUCCUUGGCUCUAAUACAGUCGGGGGAUGACGGUACCGGAAGAAUAAGCACCGGCUAACUACGUGCCAGCAGCCGCGGUAAUACGUAGGGUGCAAGCGUUAAUCGGAAUUACUGGGCGUAAAGCGUGCGCAGGCGGUUUGCUAAGACCGAUGUGAAAUCCCCGGGCUCAACCUGGGAACUGCAUUGGUGACUGGCAGGCUAGAGUAUGGCAGAGGGGGGUAGAAUUCCACUGUAGCAGUGAAAUGCGUAGAGAUGUGGAGGAAUACCGAUGGCGAAGGCAGCCCCCCUGGGCCAAUACUGACGCUCAUGCACGAAAAGGCGUGGGGAGCAAAACAGGAUUAGAUACCCUGGUAGUCCACGCCCCUAAACGAUGUCAACUAGUUGUUGGGGAUUCAUUUCCUUAGUAACGUAGCUAACGCGUGAAGUUGACCGCCUGGGGAGUACGGUCGCAAGAUUAAAAC